rnacentral:rRNA from 1 species
AACGAACGCUGGCGGCAGGCUUAACACAUGCAAGUCGAACGCCCCGCAAGGGGAGUGGCAGACGGGUGAGUAACGCGUGGGAACAUACCCUUUCCUGCGGAAUAGCUCUGGGAAACUGGAACUAAUACCGCAUACGCCCUACGGGGGAAAGAUUUAUCGGGGAAGGAUUGGCCCGCGGUGGAUUAGCUAGUUGGUGGGGUAAAGGCCUACCAAGGCGACGAUCCAUAGCUGGUCUGAGAGGAUGAUCAGCCACAUUGGGACUGAGACACGGCCCAAACUCCUACGGGAGGCAGCAGUGGGGAAUAUUGGACAAUGGGCGCAAGCCUGAUCCAGCCAUGCCGCGUGAGUGAUGAAGGCCUUAGGGUUGUAAAGCUCUUUCACCGAUGAAGAUAAUGACGGUAGUCGGAGAAGAAGCCCCGGCUAACUUCGUGCCAGCCGCCGCCGUAAGAC